rnacentral:rRNA from 1 species
GACGAACGCUGGCGGCGUGCCUAAUACAUGCAAGUCGAACGCAGUGGGGACGGGUGAGUAACACGUGGGUAACCUCCCAUCAGAGGGGAUAAAACUUGGAAACAGGUGCUAAACCGAUACGGAUGGAGGGACCCGGGGUGCAUUAGCGCGUUGGUGAGGUAACGGCUCACCAAGGCCACGAUGCAUAGCCGGCCUGAGAGGGUGACCGGCCACACUGGAACUGAGACACGGCCCAGACUCCUACGGGAGGCAGCAGUAGGGAAUCUUCGGCAAUGGGCGCAAGUCUGAUCGAGCAACGCCGCGUGAGUGAAGAAGGUUUUCGGAUCGUAAAGCUCUGUUGUUAGAGAAGCGUUACCUAACCAGAAAGCAACGGCUAACUACGUGCCAGCCGCCGCGGUAAUUC